rnacentral:rRNA from 1 species
CCUACGGGCCGCAGCAGUGGGGAAUUUCGGACAAUGGGCGCAAGCCUGAUCCAGCAAUGCCGCGUGCAGGAAGAAGGCCUUCGGGUUGUAAACUGCUUUUGUACGGAACGAAACGGCUCUGGUUAAUACCUGGGGCUAAUGACGGUACCGUAAGAAUAAGCACCGGCUAACUACGUGCCAGCAGCCGCGGUAAUACGUAGGGUGCAAGCGUUAAUCGGAAUUACUGGGCGUAAAGCGUGCGCAGGCGGUUUUGUAAGACAGGCGUGAAAUCCCCGGGCUCAACCUGGGAAUGGCGCUUGUGACUGCAAAGCUGGAGUGCGGCAGAGGGGGAUGGAAUUCCGCGUGUAGCAGUGAAAUGCGUAGAUAUGCGGAGGAACACCGAUGGCGAAGGCAAUCCCCUGGGCCUGCACUGACGCUCAUGCACGAAAGCGUGGGGAGCA